UCCUCGGUGGUAUAGUUGUUAGUAUCCGCGCCUGUCACGCGCGAGGACCCGUGUUCCCCAAUUCGCGGCCGGGUAGAA